GACGAACGCUGGCGGCGUGCCUAAUACAUGCAAGUCGAGCGCAGGAAGCUGACGGAACUCUUCGGAGGGAAGGCAGUGGAAUGAGCGGCGGACGGGUGAGUAACACGUAAGGAGCCUGCCUCAAGGAUUGGGAUAACUCCGAGAAAUCGGAGCUAAUACCGGAUAGUUCAACGGACCGCAUGGUCCGCUGAUGAAAGGCGCUCCGGCGUCACCUUGAGAUGGCCUUGCGGUGCAUUAGCUAGUUGGUGGGGUAACGGCCCACCAAGGCGACGAUGCAUAGCCGACCUGAGAGGGUGAUCGGCCACACUGGGACUGAGACACGGCCCAGACUCCUACGGGAGACAGCAGUAGGGAAUCUUCCACAAUGGACGAAAGUCUGAUGGAGCAACGCCGCGUGAGUGAUGAAGGUUUUCGGAUCGUAAAACCCUGUUGUAAGGGAAGAACACGUACGAGAGGGAAUGCUCGUACCUUGACGGUACCUUACGAGAAAGCCACGGCUAACUACGUGCCAGCAGCCGCAGUAACAC
rnacentral:rRNA from 1 species